AGCGAACAUUGGCGGUAGGCUUAACACAUGCAAGUCGAGCGAGGCGUAAUAGUCGAGCGGCGAACGGGUGAGUAAUACAUGGGAAUCUACCUCGAAGUGGGGGAUAACAGCCAGAAAUGGCUGCUAAUACCGCAUAAUCCGGGAACGGGAAAGCGCGCUGCGCUUUGAGAUGAGCCCAUGGCUGAUUAGCUAGUUGGUGGGGUAAAGGCCUACCAAGGCGACGAUCAGUAGCUGGUCUGAGAGGAUGAUCAGCCACACUGGAACUGAGACGCGGUCCAGACUCCUACGGGAGGCAGCAGUGGGGAAUCUUGCGCAAUGGGGGCAACCCUGACGCAGCCAUACCGCGUGUGCGAUGAAGGUCUUCGGAUUGUAAAGCACUUUCAGUGGGGACGACGAUGACGGUACCCACAGAAGAAGUCACGGCUAACUUCGUGCCAGCAGCCGCCGUAA
rnacentral:rRNA from 1 species